CGUAUCUCUACCCGAAGUUUUCGAGCCGGAAAAAGCUUUCUCGGGUGAUGGCUAUUAGGGCUUUUCUUUUAUGAUCUUAAUUCAAGAGUCAUACGUUUGAGAACGAUGCUAUCGACAUUGUUUUCUUUUAUAAAUCGAUCAACGGAAUUAACAUCAAGAAUCAAAAACGACUGUUUCUAAGAAAGGUCUUCUCUUUGUGGAAUUGAGGAUGAAAGCGAUGAAAAGAGAUUGGGGAUUUGAUCUUCACAGGAUUUGGUUAUACCUGAAUGUCUGGAAAAGGGUUUCGGAAUAACUCAUCCGCCACCACUUCCGCAGUUUCGAAACAGAGUUCUUCGCACUCUGUCAUUUCCACGACACAAGCUCAAGUAAUGAACAAAAUGGCUGCUCCUCCUUUGUCUCUUGAUUUUUUUUUCAGCGUAGAUCUUUAGGUAAAGAUGAAGCAACAUUACCUAUGCUGAAAGUACUUCAUUGGGAUAAAGUCAGGGCUCACAGCACCGGACUAUGGUCUAUUAUAUGCUUAAUAAAUCUCUUUCGAAUUGGAGGAAGAGAUGAUCGAGUCGCUAUUUGGAUACACAAUGCAAAUCUCCACAAAGAACGAAGAAGGGAAGUGCAACCAUCACCAGGAAAACACUUUCUUGAACCUAAAAGAUUUCAGAACUUUACUAUUUUCUUGAAAGCCCUUAACGCAAGAAGCGAUUAAAUUUGCUCUGCUUUGGGAAAAAGUAAGCCAGGAUCAGCUCGAAUCGUUGUGGAUCUCAUCUGAUUGUAAACCGUUCUUUUGUUUCAGGGGAAGGGUUGUGUUUACAGCAACUAUAAGUAUUUGUGAAGAUGAUGCCGUCUAAAUAAAGAAGAAGAGUUGAAGCUGUGUAGCUACUAAGGAGUAUUAGAUGAACUUGGCUCUGCUGAGAAAUUUCUCAGAGUGCUUGUGGGAGUACCAUUUGCAUUUCAAAGAUCUGAAAUAAUGCUUUACCGAGAGACGUUUGAAGAUGAAGUGGUUCAUCUCAAAAACUCCUUCUCAAUGCUUAAGGUGAUUAAUACAGAAAUUACUUAAUUAGGAAGGUUGCAAGGAGCUUAAGUCAAACAGGUUAUUCCUGAAGCUUUUAGAAGCUGUCUUUAAAACUUGGAACAAGAUAAAUUUUGUAGGGUGAUAUAAAAAUAUAAAAUUUGUGUGAAUUAAAUUAGUGUUCCAGUUGAAAAAUAUGUUUGAUUAAAAUCACAUAUUAUAAUAGAAAAUAAUGAUGACUUAGAAUGUUAGUCCACGUCUGAGCAAUGUUUUAAAACCAGAUCCGAAUGUUUUAAAACCAGAUCUAGAUGCUGAAUCAGAUGACCUUUCGGGUCAUCGGAUCGAUCGCGGAUGAACCUCAAAUUAAUAAAAUAAUUAAUUUUAUUAUAUAUAAUAAUAUAUUAGCUACAAAAUAAAAACAUAGAA